rnacentral:tRNA from 1 species
GGGGUUGUAGCUCAGUGGUAGGGCGUUUGCCUACCAUGUAUGAGGUCCUGAGUUUGAUCCUUAGCACCA